GUCCGAGAGGCUGUUCAAGAAUCCCUUGGUUUUAGUCCCUUUGAGUUGGUAUUUGGCCAUACUGUAAGGGGACCGUUAAAAUUGAUUAAGGAAAAGUGGCUUACUGAACAUACUGACUUGAAUCUUUUAGACUAUGUAUCUAGAUUUAAAGAAAAAUUGUACACUGCUUGUCAAAUUGCUCAGAAAAACUUAAAAAAUGUACAGAACAAGAUGAAAAUAUGGUAUGAUAAAGAUGCCAGGGACAGAGUUUUUGAGCCUGGUGAUAGGGUACUUGUAUUUUUGCCAGUCCCUGGACAUCCUUUACAGGCUAAAUAUUGUGGUCCUUAUACAAUAGAGAGUAAAAUCAAUGAUUUGAAUUAUAUUGUAAAAACUCCAGGUCGGCG
rnacentral:lncRNA from 1 species